AUGAUACUCCCUCCGUCCCAAAUUAAGUGACUCAAAAUUGAGUCAACUUUGUACUAAAGUUAGUGUAAAGUUAAGUCAUUUUUGAGUCACUUAUUUUGGGACGGAGGGAGUAUAUU
rnacentral:pre_miRNA from 1 species